ensembl:snRNA U1 U1 spliceosomal RNA
AUACUUACCUGGCAGGGGAGAUACCAUGAUCACAAAGGUGGUUUUUCCAGGGCCAGGCUUAUCCAUUGCACUUCAGAUGUGCUGACCCCGGCAAUUUCCCCAAAUGUGGGAAACUCGACUGCAUAAUCUGUGGUAGUGGGGACUGCGUUCGCGCUUUCCCCUG